rfam:Apaloderma vittatum contig74608, whole genome shotgun sequence.
UAGCUCAGUCAGUUGAGCGUAGCACUAACAACGCCAAGGUCGCGGGUUUGAUUCCCGC